AUCCUUUUGUGGUUCAUAGCAUGAUGAUUGGGUGUUCACACGCAUGUGUGAAAUGUGCCAGCCUUGAACCUUGUUACAACAUUGGCACAUGACCCAUCUGACC
rfam:Gorilla gorilla gorilla genomic chromosome, chr6, whole genome shotgun sequence